rnacentral:rRNA from 1 species
CAAUAGCGUAUAUUUAAGUUGCUGCAGUUAAAAAGCUCGUAGUUGGAUUUCGGGUGGGAAUGGCCGGUCCGCCGUUUCGGUGUGCACUUGCUACGCCCACCUUGCUGCCGGGGACGUGCUCUUGAGUUCACGCUCGGGACACGGAGUCGGCGAGGUUACUUUGAGUAAAUUAGAGUGUUCAAAGCAGGCCUACGCUCUGAAUACAUUAGCAUGGAAUAACACGAUAGGACUCUGGCCUAUCUUGUUGGUCUGUAGGACCGGAGUAAUGACUAAGAGGGACAGUCGGGGGCAUUCGUAUUUCAUUGUCAGAGGUGAAAUUCUUGGAUUUAUGAAAGACGAACUACUGCGAAAGCAUUUGCCAAGGAUGUUUUCAUUAA